rnacentral:rRNA from 1 species
GAUCAUGGCUCAGAUUGAACGCUGGCGGCAUGCCUUACACAUGCAAGUCGAACGGCAGCAUGGAGAGCUUGCUCUCUGAUGGCGAGUGGCGAACGGGUGAGUAAUACAUCGGAACGUGUCCGUUUGUGGGGGGGGACAACCGUCCGAAAGGAUGGCUAAUACCGCAUAAGACCUGAGGGUGAAAGCCGGGGACCGCAAGGCCCGGCGCAGACGGAGCGGCCGAUGAUUGAUUAG